AUUGAACGCUGGCGGCAGGCCUAACACAUGCAAGUCGAACGAGUGGCGGACGGGUGAGUAAUGUCUGGGAAACUGCCUGAUGGAGGGGGAUAACUACUGGAAACGGUAGCUAAUACCGCAUACCAUCAGAUGUGCCCAGCUGGGAUUAGCUUGUGGGGGGGGUAACGGCUCACCAAGGCGACGAUCCCUCGCGGGUCUGCGAGGAUGACCAGCCACACGUGAACGGGGACACGGUCCAGACUCCGACGGGAGGCAGCAGUGGGGAAUAUGGCACAAUGGGCGCAAGCCUGAUGCAGCCGUGCCGCGUGUAUGAAGAAGGCCUUCGGGUUGUAAAGUACUUUCAGCGGGGAGGCGUUACCCGCAGAAGAAGCACCGGCUAACGCCGUGCCAGCAGCCGCGGUAAUUC
rnacentral:rRNA from 1 species